GCUAAUGGCUAGCUAGGUGAUUGACUGGCCAUUUGUCUGCAGUUAAGCAAUAUCUAGUUUUAGUAAUAUAAAUGCCUUUUUAUCAAUAGGUAUUUCAGCAAUCUGCCCGUGCUUCAAGGAUGGUCGUAUAGCGGAAGUGAUGACAGCAGUGGAAGAAUUUAAAUAUCAUCCUCAGAGAAUAACCAGCACGUAGCGGAAAAACUGAUAACUCCUCUGAGCUUUUUAGUCACUGUAAAUGAUGCUUCCACCAUCUUUCCAGAGUUUGACCUUGAUGCAAUGUGGGAACUUCUCCUCCCACUAAUAGAGCUCACAUCCAUAUUGCAUGGUUGGCUCAAACCUAAAGAGAGGACGCA